rnacentral:rRNA from 1 species
CCACUAUGCUUAGCCCUAAACAACGAUCUUACACACACAAUAACAUCCGCCAGAGAACUACAAGCGAAAAGCUAAAAACUCCAAGGACUUGGCGGUGCUUCAAACCAACCUAGAGGAGCCUGUCCUAUAAUCGAUACUCCCCGCUUAACCUUACCACUUUUAGUCGAACAGCCUAUAUACCGCCGUCGUCAGCCUACCUUAUGAAAGAAAUAAAGUAAGCAAAACAGUUAAUAACUAGUACGUCAGGUCAAGGUGUAGCAUAUGAAGUGGCAGAGAUGGGCUACAUUUUAAAACAAACACACGAACAACAAACUGAAACACGUGUUUAAAGGUGGAUUUAGUAGUAAAAUAGAAAAGAAAACCUAUCUUAAACCUGCUCUGAAGCGCGCACACA